rnacentral:rRNA from 1 species
UACGAAGGGGGCUAGCGUUGUUCGGAAUCACUGGGCUUAAAGGGCGCGUAGGCGGGCUGUCAAGUCCGGGGUGAAAUCCUUCGGCUCAACCGGAGAAUUGCCUCGGAUACUGGCAGUCUUGAGGGAGGUAGGGGCACGCGGAACUUCCGGUGGAGCGGUGAAAUGCGUUGAUAUCGGAAGGAACGCCGGUGGCGAAAGCGGCGUGCUGGCCCUCUUCUGACGCUGAGGCGCGAAAGCCAGGGGAGCGAACGGG